rnacentral:rRNA from 1 species
UACGUAGGGUGCGAGCGUUUGUCCGGAAUUAUUGGGCGUAAAGGGCUCGUAGGCGGUUUGUCGCGUCGGGAGUGAAAUCCACUGGCUUAACUGGUGGCUUGCUUUCGAUACGGGCAGACUGGAGGUAUGCAGGGGAGAACGGAAUUCCUGGUGUAGCGGUGAAAUGCGCAGAUAUCAGGAGGAACACCGAUGGCGAAGGCAGGUCUCUGGGCAUUAACUGACGCUGAGGAGCGAAAGCAUGGGGAGCGAACAGG